GCCACCUACCGAAAAGGGAAAGCUGGGUCAGACGUGCCUGGGAGCCCCUCGGUCACAACCUGCCCCAGGGCGGGAAAGCUGACUGCGGUCACCCUGCUGCCCUCCCCUGGGGUCUGAACUGUGGCCAGGCUCUGCCUAGCGGCAGUUCCAUCACACCCGAGCUACAGAGCAGCUGCCGGACGGCUAAGGUUCCUGAGUGAUUCAGACCAGCUCGGCCCCCGAGAACUCAGUGUCCUUGCUGGUGAUCGAGCAGGCUGUGCGCGCCCAAGGUACAGUUUAAGCUUCCCCAAAGUACGCCAGCUCCCCGAACCGAGUGCACCGAGAUCCUGUUUGGAGAUGCCGAGACCACGUCCCUUCAAGGCACCUUCGCGUCCAGGCUGUCGGAGGCUGUACAGACCUGAGGAGGAGAGGGCGCCGUGAGCAGGAGCCGCUGGCCCGCACAGGCCCGCGAAUCCCAGAGGGACCGCUCACUUCAAUGUACAUGUUCCCGUGGAGCUCCGAGAUGGCCGUCCGAGGCAGCCCGCUCCGCAGGUGGAGCCCGUCACAGUUCUGAGACACCACGUGCUGCACCUGCGGGGCAAGUGAGGGCAAGUCAGCAGGUGGCCUGUGAGGGGCUGUGCUCAGUAGUGAAAGCAGUCCUUGACCCUGCCCAGAGUCCCCAAACCAGGGCAGCU